GGUUUCUUUGAGGCAUUCGGUCAUGAGACUUUUGCCCAUACACGUAUUUGUGUGUGGUCUCUAGAAUAUGGCAUCUAAUGUGUUCAAAUUUUAAUAAUUUUUGUGUACUAGUAUAUACAUUGCUUCAAUUAAGCAUGGUAUUAUUGUCUGCAAUUUGUUUAUAAUGAGCAUACCAAAGCUUGUCUUCAAUUUAGUCUGAAUUGUUUGUGCAUUUUGGUCUAUGAUAAAAACUCAUUUAGGCAACAAAUUUUUGCAAAUGUUUGGGAAAAUGUUUAGCUUUAUAUAUAUCUUGAUGAUUUCAAAUAGCUAUAAUUGCGGAGUUAUUUCAUUCAAAUCCAUCCAUUUGAAACUAUAAUAACAUUAUUUAACUAAUCCAAAAGAUAGUAUCUGUUGAUGCAAAUAUUACAGAGAGAUUAUAAUUUAGUGAUGGACUUUUUUGAAGUACUGAUUUGUGGUGGUUUGUUAGCAGAUGCCAAUCUUUCAAAUCAGAUUCAAUCCUAUCCCCCUUUUUUGUUGUAAAAAGGUAUAAAUACAUAUAAUGGAAUUGUCAAAAUCUCUCUCUCUCUCUCUCUCUCUCUCCAUUGACAUUAGUGACCUAAAUUUUGUUAUUUGAGUACAUAUCCUAGGAAGAAUUGGCCUGUGGAAUUCACUUCUUUGUCUACAUCAGUAAAAUACCAUGAGCUGUUCGGGAGGAGGAUUUGAACCCUUCUUCAAGAAAAUAAUCACCGUCAAACAAUUUUCUAAGGAAACAAUCACUGUCAAGAAUUUUCUAAGCUAUUAAAUUUCCACAAACAUCCCACUCGGUUUUGGCAUUUACAUCACAUUAUUACUUGCUCCAUGUCAUCAUAGACUUCAUGUUUCCCUGCAUCAAAGAAAAAAUGAAAAAAUAAAAAACUAAAUGUGCAACCACCUUAUAUUCUGCUUUCGACCAUUCAAAAUCUUAAAAACAAAGUCAAGGUCUUUCUUUACAAAGUUGACAUUUUUUAUUUAAUUAUUAUUAUUAUUUUUUAUAGUCCUACUCCUACAAAUAGGUUUCCAACAUUAAUCCUAGGUUGAGGGAACAUAUAGUUCAAUUUGAUCAUUUUCGCUGCCAUGGAGGUGAAGGUAAAGCCUAGUUUUUAGUGAAAUUUCGCUAUUAUUCAUUCUAGUUCUUUCAAAUUCAUGGCUCUUGUUCUUUGCAUUUCUAUGCAAAAAAUAGAGGUGAAAGUCAACAUUCACUGCCAUAAGUGCAAAAGCAAUAUAUUGAAGUCGUCACUAAACUUCAAGAUAUCGGUGGAUAGUGAGAAGGGGAUACUAACCGUUAUUGGGAAUGUUGAUCCUGUUUUAGUUGCAACCCAAGUGAGGAAGACCAGAAAGGUAGCAGAUCUCAUUGGUGUUGGUCCACCGAAGGCUAAAGAGAAAAGGCCCGACCCCCCUAAGUUUGAACUCGCUAAAUGUAUACCUGACCAUUGUAAUGAAUGCUAGCUUUUAGCUGUCAGCUAUGCUGUUCCCUAUGACAACAAUCCAUUUUGCUCUAUCUUGUGAGGGAUUAUAGCAUCUAAUGUGUCAAAUUUUAUUGAUAUACAUUGAUUCAAUUAUGCAUAAUAUUGUCUGCAUUGUUGCGGUCCCCUCAC